UCUCUCACUAUGCUAUCUUUGUAUACUAACUUUUUUAGUGGUUCUAUUCCUGCUUCAUUGGGGAAUUUGACCAAUUUGUCCAUUUUGUAUCUUUAUAGAAAUCAUCUUUCCGGCCCCAUUCCUGAUGAAAUAGGUAACCUAAGGUCUCUUACUGAUCUAGAGUUGAGUAGUAACACUCUAGAUGGUUCUAUUCCUGCUUCAUUGGGGAAUUUGACCAAUUUGUCCAUUUUGUAUCUUUUUAACAAUCAUCUUUCUGGCCCCAUUCCUGAAGAAAUUGGUCACCUAGUGUCUCUUACUAAGCUAGCUUUAAAUAGUAAUAUUUUAGAUGGUUCUAUUCCUACUUCAUUGGGGAAUUCGACCAACUUGUCCCUUUUGUAUUUUUUUAACAAUCAUCUUUCUGGCCCCAUUCCUGAAGAAAUUGGUCACCUAGUGUCUCUUAGUGACCUACAAUUGAGUAAUAACACUCUAGAUGGUUCUAUUCCUGCUUCAUUGGGGAAUUUGACCAAUUUGUCCAUUUUGUAUCUUUAUAGCAAUCAUCUUUCCGGCCCCAUUCCUAAUGAAAUAGGUAACCUAAGGUCUCUCGUUAAGCUAGAGUUGAGUAAUAACAUUCUUAAUGGUUCUAUUCCUACAAUCAUCUUUCCGGCCCCAUUCCAGAUGAAAUAGGUAACCUAAGGUCUCUUACUGAUUUAGGGUUGAGUAAUAACACUCUAGAUGGUUCUAUUCCUGCUUCAUUGGGGAAUUUGACCAAUUUGUCCUUUUUGUAUCUAAAUAGCAAUCAUCUUUCCGGCCCCAUUCCUGAUGAAAUAGGUAACCUAAGGUCUCUUACUAAGCUAGCUUUAAAUAGUAAUAUUUUAGAUGGUUCUAUUCCUACUUCAUUGGGGAAUUCGACCAACUUGUCCCUUUUGUAUCUUUUUAACAAUCAUCUUUCUGGCCCCAUUCCUGAAGAAAUUGGUCACCUAGUGUCUCUUAGUGACCUACAAUUGAGUAAUAACACUCUAGAUGGUUCUAUUCCUGCUUCAUUGGGGAAUUUGACCAAUUUGUCCAUUUUGUAUCUUUAUAGCAAUCAUCUUUCCGGCCCCAUUCCUAAUGAAAUAGGUAACCUAAGGUCUCUCGU
rnacentral:lncRNA from 1 species